ACAAAAGGCGGCCGGGCGAGACGUUGGCCACCCACCCUUUCCGUGUGCCGUGCCCUUCCUUCAUAGGUGGCGCCCGCCAACGGCGCUUGCCCCAGCAGCCUGCGCAGGCUAUCCGGGGGACCUUUGUCUCUGCGUGUCUUCGUGUCUUCACAGACAUCGACGAGUGCGCUUCGAGGCCGUGCCAGAACGGAGCACGCUGCAGCAAUGCCGUGGCCUCAUAUUCCUGCCAGUGUCUCCCCGGCUUCUCCGGAGUGGACUGCGAGAUAGAUAUUGAUGAAUGUGCGUCAAGUCCGUGCUACAACGGAGGGCGCUGCUUGAACGAGGCCAAUCGGUGGAGGUGCGAAUGCUUGCCCGGAUUUCUGGGAGAUCAUUGUGAGACAGAUGUCGACGAGUGUGCCUCGAGCCCGUGCCGGAACGGCGGCCGCUGCGUGGACAGCACCAACGAGUACUCCUGCCGCUGUCCCGCCGGAUACACCGGGACCAAUUGUGAGAUCGGUGAGACGCGAACAGACGACGGCGCAUUGCAAACGGACACAAUCUGAACCCCACAGCCUCAACGCUGACCCACAGCCUCAACGCUGACCCAUAGCCUCAA